CCCCUAUAAAAAUUAGUCAAAGGCAAUAAGGCCCUUAAGAGCUCACCGUGCACUUCACUCGCCAUGGAUGAGAGUGGGGGUUCGUUUUUUGACACGAAAUACCAAAAUGCAACCAGAAACUUUAUAAGUACCAAAAUGAAGUUUUUAAGAUUUUCAAUUGAGUCCUUUAUAUUUUCAAUUAAGCCAUCUUCUUCAACUAGUCCUCCACUUUUUCACCAUGAUUUUUUCCGGCAAAAACCAUCAACCAAACCCAUAUCUGAACAUGAAUUUCAUUUCUAUUCCAAAUCCAAGAAAACAAAAUGGAAGAAAAACGGCUCCUCAAAAUUUUUCGGCACAUCCCUGCCCAAACAAAAAAAUAUACAAAAACCCUUCAAAGAAAUUUCUUUCAAUUUCCAUAGCAUUUUCUUCCAAUUUGUGAAAACUUAAUUCGUACCUUCAGGAAGAAUAAGAAGAAGAAGAAGAAUGUCAAACUCGAAGAAUCAUUGGCCGACUCUCCGAUUCAACCACGCCGCAGCCGCUGCCCUCUCUCCAAAUUGCAUAGGACCAAAUUGCAAUUUUCAUAAUUUCUCAAAACCUCAUCUUCUUUCUCCGUCUCCUUCUUCUCAAAUCUGUUCCUCGCCAUGGAUGCUUCAUCCGGCCCGGAUGAUGCCGCCUCCAAACCCACCUCCGACGAAGAGAUGAGACGAAUAGGG
rnacentral:lncRNA from 1 species